GAUAGAAGGCAAGUAUCAAAGACGAAAGAGCACAAAGGAAGGGGAAAGAACAAGUUAAAAGAUGCGCUUACUCCGGCUGACGACCUUCCCGCGAAAAGAGUUCGCAAAAAGACUGCUAUCAGGGAAUGAAGAUACUGAACGUUUAUGCAGGUGAAGAUGGCCAAGAUAUUUCUUAAUUUGAUAUUGCGUUUAAUUAAAACCUAUCAUGUUACACGAGAAUGGCAACAUCGUUACUACCCGCUGAGGGGAAUUAAAGUUCACCACUAAACUUUAUCCGAUUCUUACUGGUUUAAAUUGAUCACGAGACGCGAUAGUGUUAAUCCGUGGAGAGACACUAUCGGCCCAUU